rnacentral:misc_RNA from 1 species
GAUGAAGGACGUAGCGAAAUGCGAUAAGUAAUGUGAAUUGCAGAAUUCAGUGAAUCAUCGAAUCUUUGAACGCACAUUGCGCCCCCUGGUAUUCCGGGGGGCAUGCCUGUCCGAGCGUCAUUACAACCCUCAAGCUCAGCUUGGUGUUGGGCCCCGCCGCCCCGGCGGGCCCUAAAGUCAGUGGCGGUGCCGUCCGGCUCCGAGCGUAGUAAUUCUUCUCGCUCUGGAGGUCCGGUCGUGUGCUCGCCAGCAACCCCCAAUUUUUUUCAGGUUGACCUCGGAUCAGGUAGGGAUACCCGCUGAACUUAAGCAUAUCAAUAAGCGGAGGA